rnacentral:rRNA from 1 species
UACGAAGGGGGCUAGCGUUGCUCGGAAUCACUGGGCGUAAAGCGCACGUAGGCGGCUUCUUAAGUCAGGGGUGAAAUCCUGGAGCUCAACUCCAGAACUGCCCUUGAUACUGAGAGGCUCGAGUCCGGGAGAGGUGAGUGGAACUCCGAGUGUAGAGGUGAAAUUCGUAGAUAUUCGCAAGAACACCAGUGGCGAAGGCGGCUCACUGGCCCGGUACUGACGCUGAGGUGCGAAAGCGUGGGGAGCAAACAGG